rnacentral:tRNA from 1 species
GGGCGGUUAGCUCAGUGGCAGAGCGCAUCCCUCACACGGAUGAGGUCGCAGGUUCAAAACCUGCACCGCCCACCA